UAGACCGCCUGGGGAGUACGGCCGCAAGGUUAAAACUCAAAUGAAUUGACGGGGGCCCGCACAAGCGGUGGAGCAUGUGGUUUAAUUCGAUGCAACGCGAAGAACCUUACCUGGUCUUGACAUCCACAGAAGAAUCCAGAGAUGGAUGUGUGCCUUCGGGAACUGUGAGACAGGUGCUGCAUGGCUGUCGUCAGCUCGUGUUGUGAAAUGUUGGGUUAAGUCCCGCAACGAGCGCAACCCUUAUCCUUUGUUGCCAGCGAUUAGGUCGGGAACUCAAAGGAGACUGCCAGUGAUAAACUGGAGGAAGGUGGGGAUGACGUCAAGUCAUCAUGGCCCUUACGACCAGGGCUACACACGUGCUACAAUGGCGCAUACAAAGAGAAGCGACCUCGC
rnacentral:rRNA from 1 species